GGAGGCGGCGGGCAGCGCGCGGGCGCUUAGUUCCGGAAAGGAGAGGAGGCUCGCGGCUGUGGAUCCGGCGGCUCUAGCCCUGGCAGCGGAAAAGAAGCCGCGCAGGCGCUCAGCGCACCUCCAGGUCUCUAGGUCCCGAGCCGCCUUAAAGGCUUGCGGCCGCGGUUGCUUCACAACGAGCGUGGGCGGGGCCAAAGCUGAGCAGGGGAAGGGCCGGCCGGCCCGCCCCUCCCACGCCACCAGCGUAACGUCAGAAAGUUCCGCGGUGGUGUGAGGUGUCACGUCGUAGCGUGAGAUUCUUCCGCCACUGGGGGCCCGGUGGGCGGAGUCUCAAGUGCCCAAAAAAAAAUCCCUAGGACAGGAAAUGAUCUAGUACAGGUGACUAGACGUGGGAUUUUUUUAAAAGUAUUGAUGAGCUUUAAAAUGAAUAGCUUGAGCGCAUUUGCGUUCUAACCAACGUGCCCAAUCUUUUUUUUUUCUUGGUUUUUUCAAGACAGGGUUUCUCUGGUUUUGGAGGCUGUCCUGAAACUAGCUCUGGUAGACCGGGUGGAUCUCUGUGAGUUCGAUGCCAGCCUGGUCUCCACAGUGAGUGCCAGGAUAGGCUCAAAAGCUACACAGAGAAACCCUGUCUUGAAAAACUAAAAAAAAAAAAAAAUCAGAAUUAGGGCUGGAGAAAUGGCUUAGUGGUUGAAUGCUUAUUGCUCUUCCAGAGACCCUGAGUUCUGUUCUACACUGGGCAGUAGACAACUAAUUGCCUGUACUUCCUGCAACUCCAGCUUCAGGCUGUCCCACAUUAUCUUCUGGACUCUCUUGGCACUCGAACGCAUGUGUCACAUAUUUAUUCAGAAACAUACAUACACAUAAAAUUAUUUUUUUAGAUUAUGAAUUUAGGCAUAAGCCAUAAAUCACUGUUUGGUACCUCUAGAGUUAGGAGAAAGAAUAAGCCAGUUGACUAUGUAUGCUAACAUUUCAGUCUUGAGGGCUGUAGAGAUGGCUCAGUGGUUAAAACUAUGUUCUUUCAAGACAGGUUUCUCUGUGGCUUUGGAGGCUGUCCUGAAACUAGCUCUUGUAGGCCAGGCUGGUCUUGAACUCACAGAGAUCCUCUGCCUCUGCCUCCCGAGUGCUGGGAUUAAAGGCAUGUGCCACCACCAAUACCGGCUCUGGGUUCAAUUCUUAUUGCCUAUGUCAGGCAGCUCAUGACUGCUUGUAACUCAAGCUCCAGGGAAUUGAACACCUCUGGCUUCCAGUGGUAUUCACAAACAUGGCAUCCACUCACACAGGCACACAUAUACAUGAUUAAAAAUAAAACAAGAAAAAGAAACUUCAUUGAUAUAGGCAAGCAGUGUUUAGUCUGCUAGGACGGUCAUUGUGGCACAAUAUCCCUAGCACACAGUGCAGGCGAAUGCCGAGUUUGAGACCAGCUACAUAAUGAAUACUGCCUCAAAAAAUAAACAGGAUGCUCACUCUCCAUUUGCCACCUGCCUGUUCCCCUUGAGCACUUGAGUUUAUAACCUGCUGCUUUUAAAAUUGAGACGGCCUGGGAGCUGCCACCACAUGCCCCAUUCAGUUAAGAGACAAAGGCUGGACCACUCCACACCUGCUCUGCACCACUGCCCCUCCUUGGGCCAUACCCAGGCCUUUGGGAAGGAAAUAUCCCUGCAGGGCAUUGAGAAAGAGGUUUAGCUGAGUUUGCCACACUCUCUUUGCUUGUCUUCGGUGAGGCAUUUGGCCUCAUUGUUUUUGUUUGAUUGCUGGGACUAUGCAAUCUCCAGUUGGGUGAAUCAAAGGCAGUAAAUGGCUGGUGGUGCCUUUUUUGGUUGUUGCUAGUUUCACCCUGUAGCCCUGGCUGAUCUUUUAUGAAUAUUUUCUCGGCAUGUGUACUGCAUACAUGUGUGGUGCUUUCAGAAGAAAGUGUCAGAUCCCCUGAGACUGUGGUUACAAGCUGUUGGGAGCUACCAUGUGGGUGCUAGGAAAAAACCUGUUUCCUAUACAAGAGCAUCAAGCACUCUCAACAGCUGAGCAAUCUCUCUCUAGUCAGUUCCCCAGGUUUGUUUUUUUGUUUUUUUGUUUUUUUUUUUUUUUUUUUUUUUUUUUUGAGACGCUCAGAGAUCUGCCUGCCUGUGUCUCCCAAGUGAUGGGAUAUGUGCUUUUAUCCUGGCACUCAGGAGGCAGCUCUCUGAGAGUUCCAAGCCAACCAGGGAUACACAGUGAGACCCUGUCUAAAAACAAAGAAGCCAGGAGGUGGUGGCGCAUGCCUUUAACCCCAGGAGGCAGCAGAGGCAGGUAAAUCUCUGAAUUCGAGGCUAGCCUUGUCUAUAGAGUGAGUUCCAGGACAGCCUCCAAAGCUACAAAGAAACCCUGUCUCAGAAAAAAAGAAAGAAAAAGUAAACAGAAAUAAUUAGAAAUUUUCCCACUUGAAGGAGGUUUUGUAUGUCAAAUAACACAUGUCUGAAACCUACAGUGGGUGCCUUCUGGAUUGGGUGAGUCCCAAUUUCUGUUACUGUCCUUCAUCAGGCAGAGUGGAACUCUGCAACCUUAUACUGUUCCUAAACAUCUUUGUAUUCAAACUGGUACCAAGAGCUGCCUCAGCCCUCCCUAGAAAAAUGUAGUAGCAGCCUGAUUUGAUCUUUACCAUCAGCCUGGUAGAUAUAAGCUCCCUUCCUGAGUUCAUCCUCUACCUCCUUCCCAAAAGAAGGUUCUGGCUCUUUUGUUCCUCUCCCAGUAGACACCCAAGCUCAGUCUCCAUAGUUGCAGCCCAUGGGGCAAAGUGACAAAAGAAGCAGCACAUGCUUCUUAAUGUAACUUGUUAUUCUUUAUCUCCUUCCCUUUAUUUGUGGUAGGAGCUCACUGUGUGACCCAGGCCAGCCUUGAACUCUUGAUCCUCCUGCCUCAGCUUCCCAAGUGUAAUCAUGUGCGUGCCACAGUUCAGGGUUCUGGUGGUUGAUACCAUAACAAAUCCCUCCCCAGCUAUUGCCACUCAGUUCACUGAGAUUCUUCAGGCUCUGGGAGUCACAGCAGCUUUCUCUAGUUCAAGCACUGAUUCCCAUUAUAUGCUGGAACCUAGUAUGCUUCAGCCUCUGUGCUCACCUCAUCUCCACUCCAUAAACACAGCCUCAAAGAUUGAUCUCAAUUCAUCCACAAAUUCCUGAAAUACGAAUUGACCAGGGAACAGAAAGAGAUAAAGUGCAAGAUUUUAAAAAUCAUAAGUUCAGGGCAGUGGUGGCACACGCCUUGAAUCCCAGCACUCAGGAGGCGGAGGAAGAUAGUUCAAGGCCAGUGUGAUCUACAGAGUGAGUUCUGAGACAGGCAAGCCUGCACAGAGAAAUGCUGUCUCAAAAAACAAAACCAAAAAACUCAUUUAAAAAUUGCAAGGAGGACUGGGUGUUGGUGGUGCACACCUUUAAUCCCAGCACUCAGGGAAGCAGAGGUAGGCGGAUCUCUGUGAUGCUGGGAUUAAAGGCAUGCGCCACCAACGCCCGGCAGCUCUGGAACUUUUAAAAUGAUGUAUUUAUUUUUGUUAUCUUCAUUGGUGCCUUGCCUGCUUGUAUAUCUGUGUGAUCCCCUGAAACUGGAGUUAUAGACUGUUGUGAGCUGCCAUGUAGGGGCUGGGAACUGAAGCUGCUCUGGAAGAGCAGACAGUGCUCUUUAACCACUGAGCCUCUCUCCAGCCCUCAUUCCAGGAAUUUUUAAUCUAUAAAUCAUACAGUAUCUAGAUGUAGAAUCAAUACUUGGUAAUCUGGUUUUGCAGCCAGAAAUGGUGGUGCACACCUGUCAACUCAGACUUCGGAGGCUGAGGCAGGAAGAUUAAAAAUUUAAAGCUAGCCUGGGCUACACAGUGACAUCUUGUCUGUCUGCAAAUAGAUAAGGACUAGGGAGGUAGUUCAGUGGUAUAGCAUCGGCCACCAUAUUAAUACUCUUUUUUUUUUUACAACACUGCAGAUGAUUGAUAGAUCAUAAACAAAAUAGAUAAGUAAUUUUACACAUAAAAAUCUAAGUUUGUAUUGCAAUAAAAAAAAUUCGCUUCAGACACUUCUAACCUGUCUGUUGAGUAUUGAGUAUUGCCUGCAGCGUGCGCUCAAAGAUGAUCCGUAGUCCGUAAGGCUAAGAUUUCUUUAUUCAGAUAAACACCAGCCCAAAUACAAGCCAGAGCGUGCCCAGAGGCCGAAAGCUAGGGAGGCCAGAGAGAGGGGCGAUCCACGAUCCACUUGUGCUCGGUCCCUUAAGAAUUGUCCCCGCGUCAUCUUUGACCUCCCCUGACCACGCCUUCACAUGGGUAGCCAGUCACACCUGUAGGGGCUACUAGGAGGCGGGGCUACAAUGUCUCCCUACACCUGUCCAUAUUUUUUAAAAAAUAGUUUAUUAUGUCUAUGGCUGUUUAGCUUGCAUGUAUACCUAUGUAUUAUGUAUGUGACUGGUGUGCCAGAAGAGGGCAUCAGAUCCCCUGAAACUGGAAUUACAGAUGGCUGUGAGCAGUUAUGUGGGUAUGAGAGUCAAACACAGGUCCUCUAGAAAAGCAGCCAGUGAUCUUCACCACUGAGUCAUCUCUCCAGCCCUUCAUAUUUUGACUGGCCAAAAUAUCAGUAUUCCCUGGCAAGUCACUCCAGUGAAAAAUCGCCUCCCAGACUUAGUGUAAAACCUACCACAAAAACCCUGUAAAGCUACUAUCUCUUGAAGAACCCACACUUAAUCUACAAAAAAAUUUUUUUUGGCCAGGCAGUGGCACACUCCUUUAAUCCCAGCACUCAGGAGGCACAGGCAGGCAGAUCUCUGUGAGUUUAAGGCCAGCCUGAACUACAGAGUGAGUUCCAGGGCUACUCAGAGGAACCCUGUCUUGAAAAACAAAAUUAAAAAAAAAAAAAUGUUUUGAUGCAUGCCUUAAGUACAAACACUUGGAAGGCUGAGGCAGGUGAAUCUCUGAGUUUCAGGCCAGCCUGCUCUAAUUGGCAAGGACUAGGCCAGUCAAGGCUACAGUGUUCAACCUCCUCUCAAAAGAGGCAAAAAAAAAAAAAAAGUUUUUACUACGUUUUGCUUAUUGUGUAUGGAGGAUGGGCACACCAUGGCAUUUCAGUGGAGAGCAGAGGACAUUUUGCAGGAAUUAGUUCUUUUGUUCCGCUUUAUGGAUCCAGGGACUAGACUCAAACCAGUCUUGGUGGCAAGUACCUUUACCUGCUGUGCCAUCUCACUAGCUCCCAGGCUCCCUUAGGAGUGAACUCUGUCCCCAGACACCUUCCCCAGCACCACCCCCAACACCACCAGGUAAAGCUUAGCCUCCUCUAGCAACGGCCCCUCCCACACACACUCUCCUUUGGUUUUUAGUUUUGUUUUGUUUUUAAAUCUCUCCCAUUUUAAGUAAUGUAAAGGAGAGCGGAAUCCUGUACUCCCAUCUCCCACGGGCUUCAGCCUGGUGUCGGUGGGGACAGCAUUUUCAAGCCUAUAUGGGACUCGGACUUGUCUCCUGAGUUACCUCUUCCCUGCCCCUCCUUUCUGUCCUUCAGACCUGUGGGUAGGAAAACACAAAUCUGUGAUAGUCAAGGUUUCCGUCAGGAAAAAUGUGCCUGAUUUCUGUGUCUGCGGACCCCAAACCCCAGUUCUUGCAUACUGGUCCAGGAGGCAGUGUGACCUUGCCUUCUCAAAUUGCCCUGCUUCCUUCACUCCCAGGUCACUGUCCCACAUCCGGCAUUCUUUUCUCACUCUGGGACCCUCCUCGUCUUGAUCCUUCUCUUUGUUACAUAUACAAGAUGUAGAAACUGGGUGGCUCAGCGGAUAAAGACACUGAGUCUGAUCCCUGGGACCCACAAGCUGAAAGGAGAGAGCCAACUCCAACAAGUUGUUCUCUGAUCUCUGAGUGAGCACCAUGGCUUUUGUGCCAGCAAAGGCAUGUGCACACUCACAAAAUAAAAUGUAAUAAUUUAGAUGUACAAAAUUCAGCUGAAGAGAUGGCUCUGCUCUUCCAGAAGACCUGGUUCAGGUCCCAGUACCCACAUGGCGGUUCAUAACCAUUUAAGACUCCAGUCCCAGGGAAUCUGAUGCUCCUUAUGGCCUUUGAAGGCACAAUGUGUGCACAUGGUACAGGCAUGCAUGUAGGCAAAAACCUCUUUUUUUUUUUUUUUUUUUGAGACAGGGUCUCACUACAUAGCUCUGGCUGGCUGUCCUGGAACUCACUGUGUAGACAAGGCUAGCCUUGAACUCAAAGAUCUGCCUGCCUCUACCUCCCCAGUGCUAGGAUUAAAGGUGUGCGCCACUAUAUCUGGACUAAUUUCUUAAAAAAAAAAAUAUGUAGAAACCUGCAGCAGUGAGUUCUCAUUAGUGUCCAGGAUGGCAGGUGGGGGUGGUGAACAUCAUUACUCCCAGCACUCGGGAGGCAGAGGCAGGCGGAUCUCUGUGAGUUCAAGGCCAGCCUGGUCUACAGAGCAAGUGCCAGGAUAGGCUCCAAAGCUACACAGAGAAACCCUGUCUCAGAGAGAGAGAGAGAGAGAGAGAGAGAGAGAAUAGUGAGUGUGUCCAGGAUGGCAGUCCCGUGGUUCCUUGUCCCUCUGGGCACUUUGUGUCCACUGCCAAUCUCCUAUCUCCUGAGUGUGGGAGGGAAGAAGUGUUACAUUCACUAUGUUCCCCUUUAAAAGGCUCCUGCCUGCCUCCUCCUCGUCUUCUUCCUCCUCGUCUUCUUCCUCCUCGUCUUCCUCCUCCUCCUCCUCCCUCCCUCUCUCCCUCCCUCCCUCUGUCUCUCUCUCUCUCCCUCUCUCUGUUUUUCUGCCUGUCUCUCUUCUGCUGCUCCCGUCUCCAAAGGCUGGUCCCCCUUCCACUCCUCCCUUUCUCCUAAUAAACCCCCUCCACAUGAGCUCUCUCACAUGGCCUUCUUUCUCUCAUGCCACUUUUUAAAAUUACAACACUGAUAACUCAGCCAUCAGUUCUGAUUUGAAACUUCUCCACAGUGCGAGCAUUCCAUCUUUCUGUGCCCAGCUUACAGUCGUCUUUAUUUCAUUUCUCUCAUUUCUUUCCCACUUUCUAGCAGUUAAGCUUUUUCAAGUGUGUGUGUGCAUAAGUAAAAGGACACAGCAUGCAUGUAGAGAUAAAGGAGAGUGCUGGGUGUCGGCCUCCACCUUCCACCUUGCUCCAGAUAGGGUGUCUUGUUUGCUGCCAUGCACACAGCAUGCUGGCCUAUGAGCUUCCAGAGGAUUCUUCCGUCUCUGUCUCCCAUGUCCCUUGAAAAGCACUGGGGUUACAGACUCUCGAUACCAUGUGCAGCUUUCACACGGGCUCCAGGGGUUCAAAAUCUGGUCCUCCUGCCUGCACAGCAAGCACCUUUACCACUGAGCCAUCUUCUCAGUCCUUUAUCUUUUAACCUUUCUGUUUUUUAGAACGAGUUCUUGUUUUUGAGCAGUGAUAUAAUGUUGCAAGUUACUCAUUUGUUCAUUCACCAAUGUUAACUGCAGGAAGUAGAGGGAGCCCUGAAUAAAUGUGUGCUGUCAAAGAUAUGCCUACGUCAAUGACGCCAGAGCCUCAGUCCCAUAAGAAAAUGGCAGAGCCUUUCCCAGGGUUUCUCUGUGUAUCCCUAGCUGUCCUGGAACUCACACUGUAGACCAGGUUGGCCUCAGACUCAGAUCUGCCUGCGUUCCU
rnacentral:lncRNA from 1 species